rnacentral:rRNA from 1 species
GACGAACGCUGGCGGCGUGCUUAACACAUGCAAGUCGAACGGAAAAGAACUGCUUUUGUGGGGUGCACGAGUGGCGAACGGGUGAGUAACACGUGAGUAACCUGCCCUUGACUUUGGGAUAACCUCAGGAAACUGGGGCUAAUACCGGAUAGGAGCUCCUGCUGCAUGGUGGGGGUUGGAAAGUUUCGGCGGUUGGGGAUGGACUCGCGGCUUAUCAGCUUGUUGGUGGGGUAGUGGCUUACCAAGGCUUUGACGGGUAGCCGGCCUGAGAGGGUGACCGGCCACAUUGGGACUGAGAUACGGCCCAGACUCCUACGGGAGGCAGCAGUGGGGAAUAUUGCACAAUGGGCGGAAGCCUGAUGCAGCAACGCCGCGUGCGGGAUGACGGCCUUCGGGUUGUGAACCGCUUUCGCCUGUGACGAAGCGUGAGUGACGGUAAUGGGUAAAGAAGCACCGGCUAACUACGUG